rnacentral:rRNA from 1 species
UACGUAGGGGGCAAGCGUUGUCCGGAAUUAUUGGGCGUAAAGAGCGCGUAGGCGGUCCGAUAAGUCGGCUGUGAAAGUCCAGGGCUCAACCCUGGAAAGCCGGCCGAUACUGUCGGACUAGAGUCCGGAAGAGGCAAGUGGAAUUCCCGGUGUAGCGGUGAAAUGCGCAGAUAUCGGGAGGAACACCAAUGGCGAAGGCAAUCCCUGGGCCUGCACUGACGCUCAUGCACGAAGCGUGGGAGCAAACAGGA